rnacentral:ncRNA from 1 species
UGUUCUAAGUUAUACCGUUAAGGUAUUUUCUUUAAAACAGUUUUAGCCGUUUUAUAUACUGGAUAAAAUUGACAGUAACGAAUUAUGGUGUUGAGCCACAUGAAAUUAUAUAUAUGUAAAAAUAUAUAUAAUGGAAAGUGUCCUAAAAUAUGGCUGUUUGCAAGUGGGUUGGUAAAAAAUAGUUUCAAUUCGGAUUUUUAACCGGUUAACUAUUCCGCCUACUGUUGGUAAACUGUUCCUAGGACUGUGCUUAUUAUCACCGGUCGGCAGCGAUUCAGGUUCAGGCUCUUAUCCGACCCGUCUUGAAACACGGACCAAGGAGUUUAGCGUGUACGCAAGUCAUUGGGCCUAUAAACCCAUAGGCAAAAUGAAAGUAAAGAGUUGGAGUUUUGUAAAUUUUUACAUUCUCUACUUUAGGGAAGAUGGAAAAUAUUGUGCAGCAAUGUAUAAGAUUUUCCCGCAUUCCCAGGGCGCUUGAUUCUUGCUUUGCAAGUCAAUGCGCACCUAUAGCGUACACGCUGAUACUCGAAAGAUGGUGAACUAUGCCUGGCCAGGACGAAGCCAGGGGAAACCCUGGUGGAGGUCCGCAGCGAUUCUGACGUGCAAAUCGAUCGUCGGAGCUGGGUAUAGGGGCGAAAAGACCAAUCGAACCAUCUAGUAGCUGGUUCCCUCUGAAGUUUCCCUCAGGAUAGCUUGCACUCGGUUGAGACGAGUCUCAUCCGGUAGAGCGAAUGAUUAGAGGCAUUGGGGUCGAAACGACCUCAACCUAUUCUCAAACUCCAAAUAGAUGAGAUCCCCGGCUUUCUUAAAAGUGAAGCCGUGGGAAUAGGAUCAGAGUGCCAAGUGGGCCAAUUUUGGUAAGCAGAACUGGCGCUGUGGGAUGAACCAAACGCAGAGUUAAGGCGCCUAAAUUGACGCUCAUGUGAAACCAUGAAAGGCGUUGGUUGCUUAAGACAGCAGGACGGUGGCCAUGGAAGUUGGAAUCCGCUAAGGAGUGUGUAACAACUCACCUGCCGAAGCAACUAGCCCUGAAAAUGGAUGGCGCUGUAGCGUCGUGCCUAUACUCUGCCGUCAAUGACAAAGAUGAUUAAUAAGCUGUGUGUUAAUUAAUGUUGUAGUCUUGACUGCAGUAUUGUUAAUUACAAAGUUUAUUACUAUAUCAUCAUUAUGUCUUGAUGAGUAAGAGGGCCGCGGCGAUGAGCGCAGAAGGGA